AGAGUAACGGGGGCCGCGGGUCAGUCAUCAGGGGAGGGAGCCUCAAAUUUGAACCUGGAAUUUGGAGGGAGAGCCUCAGAUAGGACAUAGAAAGGGACCCUGGUUUUGGGGGCCACGAUCUUGACGGGUGAGUACGUUCUCGGAAGAUAAGCCAAGAGCUAGGACUCAACAACGCAGACGGGCUGGCCCGGUUUGUGCCAGGUCUUUGGAGAUGGAAAGGAGUGAGCUCAGCCUUUGAAAGUAAGCCUGUUUCAAUGUUCACAUGUACAGUGUUUUCUUUUUCAUCUGCUUCACCUUCUAGAACCCUGUUUGAGCGGCCCAGUCCGCUGUAGCUGUAUUGACGGGAACACGGAGAAGGCAGUGGCGCCCAGGCUUGGGCAAGAACUUUCAAGAAUAUCCGAUGUCACCAGCAGUUCAGGGCCAGUCUUCCGGACCGUCAUAUCUUUGCAAGGCCAAUUCCGGGCACGGAUCCCAGCUGACCAUAUUCUCUUUCGUGGCUCUACAACACUGAUCAGAUGAUGAUAUUUAGCACAUUACCGAGUGACUCGAUCUGUUUACCUGACCAGGUAUUCUCCGGACAAUUUCUAAAAGAAAACAACGUCCCACAA